UACGUAGGGUGCAAGCGUUGUCCGGAAUUAUUGGGCGUAAAGAGCUCGUAGGCGGUUUGUUGCGUCGGCUGUGAAAUCCCGAGGCUCAACCUCGGGUCUGCAGUCGAUACGAGCAAAGCUAGAGUGUUGCAGGGGAGACUGGAAUUCCUGGUGUAGCGGUAGAAAUGCGCAGAUAUCAGGAGGAACACCGGUGGCGAAGGCGGUUCUCUGGGCAUUACCUGACGCUGAGGAGCGAAAGUGUGGGGAGCGAACAGG
rnacentral:rRNA from 1 species